UCUGAUUCAGCGGCGGACGGGUGAGUAAUGCCUAGGAAUCUGCCUGGUAGUGGGGGACAACGUCUCGAAAGGGACGCUAAUACCGCAUACGUCCUACGGGAGAAAGCAGGGGACCUUCGGGCCUUGCGCUAUCAGAUGAGCCUAGGUCGGAUUAGCUAGUUGGUGAGGUAAUGGCUCACCAAGGCGACGAUCCGUAACUGGUCUGAGAGGAUGAUCAGUCACACUGGAACUGAGACACGGUCCAGACUCCUACGGGAGGCAGCAGUGGGGAAUAUUGGACAAUGGGCGAAAGCCUGAUCCAGCCAUGCCGCGUGUGUGAAGAAGGUCUUCGGAUUGUAAAGCACUUUAAGUUGGGAGGAAGGGCAGUAAGCGAAUACCUUGCUGUUUUGACGUUACCGACAGAAUAAGCACCGGCUAACUCUGUGCCAGCAG
rnacentral:rRNA from 1 species